rnacentral:rRNA from 1 species
ACGCUGGCGGCGGGCCUAACACAUGCAAGUCGAGCGGUAGAGAGAAGCUUGCUUCUCCUGAGAGCGGCGGACGGGUGAGUAAUGCCUAGGAAUCUGCCUGGUAGUGGGGGAUAACGUUCGGAAACGGACGCUAAUACCGCACACGUCCUACGGGAGAAAGCAGGGGACCUUCGGGCCUUGCGCUAUCAGAUGAGCCUAGGUCGGAUUAGCUAGUUGGUGAGGUAAUGGCUCACCAAGGCGACGAUCCGUAACUGGUCUGAGAGGAUGAUCAGUCACACUGGAACUGAGACACGGUCCAGACUCCUACGGGAGGCAGCAGUGGGGAAUAUUGGACAAUGGGCGAAAGCCUGAUCCAGCCAUGCCGCGUGUGUGAAGAAGGUCUUCGGAUUGUAAGGCACUUUAAGUUGGGAGGAAGGGUUGUAGAUUAAUACUCUGCAAUUUUGACGUUACCGACAGAAUAAGCACCGGCUAACUCUGUGCCAGCAGCCGCGGUAAUACAGAGGGUGCAAGCGUUAAUCGGAAUUACUGGGCGUAAAGCGCGCGUAGGUGGUUUGUUAAGUUGGAUGUGGAAUCCCCGGGCUCAACCUGGGAACUGCAUUCAAAACUGACUGACUAGAGUAUGGUAGAGGGUGGUGGAAUUUCCUGUGUAGCGGUGAAAUGCGUAGAUAUAGGAAGGAACACCAGUGGCGAAGGCGACCACCUGGACUAAUACUGACACUGAGGUGCGAAAGCGUGGGGAGCGAAAC